rnacentral:tRNA from 1 species
ACUAAAGUAAGUUACUUAAAACUAGCGGGCUCAUACCCCGUCCACACGCAAUUUAGCGUCUUUAGUU